UACAACGAAGAGUUUGAUCCUGGCUCAGGAUGAACGCUAGCGGCAGGCUUAACACAUGCAAGUCGAGGGGUAACAGGGAUUGCUUGCAAUCCGCUGACGA
rnacentral:rRNA from 1 species